CCUGCGGAAGGAUCAUUACUGAGUGAGGGCCCUCUGGGUCCAACCUCCCACCCGUGUUUAUUGUACCUUGUUGCUUCGGUGCGCCCGCCUCACGGCCGCCGGGGGGCUUCUGCCCCCGGGUCCGCGCGCACCGGAGACACCAUUGAACUCUGUCUGAAGAUUGCAGUCUGAGCAUAAACUAAAUAAGUUAAAACUUUCAACAACGGAUCUCUUGGUUCCGGCAUCGAUGAAGAACGCAGCGAAAUGCGAUAACUAAUGUGAAUUGCAGAAUUCAGUGAAUCAUCGAGUCUUUGAACGCACAUUGCGCCCCCUGGUAUUCCGGGGGGCAUGCCUGUCCGAGCGUCAUUGCUGCCCUCAAGCACGGCUUGUGUGUUGGGCUCCGUCCCCCCGGGGACGGGCCCGAAAGGCAGCGGCGGCACCGAGUCCGGUCCUCGAGCGUAUGGGGCUUUGUCACCCGCUCUGUAGGCCCGGCCGGCGCCAGCCGACAACCCAUCAUCCUUUUCAGGUGACCUCGGAUCAGGUAGGGAUACCCGCUGAACUUAAGCAUAUCAAUAAGCCGGAGGA
rnacentral:rRNA from 1 species